rnacentral:sRNA from 1 species
AAAUUCCCAGUAUUAUACCGUCGCAGUAGCCUUUAGGCUAGGUGGCAUGACAGAGUUAUGUAGAAUAUACGUGGUAAAGCUGCACCUGGGCACGUUAAAUGUCAUG